GUCCAGACUCCUACGGGAGGCAGCAGUGGGGAAUAUUGCACAAUGGGGGAAACCCUGAUGCAGCGACGCCGCGUGAGUGAAGAAGUAUUUCGGUAUGUAAAGCUCUAUCAGCAGGGAGGAAAAUGACGGUACCUGACUAAGAAGCCCCGGCUAACUACGUGCCAGCAGCCGCGGUAAUACGUAGGGGGCAAGCGUUAUCCGGAUUUACUGGGUGUAAAGGGAGCGUAGACGGCAUGGCAAGUCAGAUGUGAAAGCCCGGGGCUCAACCCCGGGACUGCAUUUGAAACUGUCAGGCUGGAGUGCAGGAGAGGUAAGUGGAAUUCCUAGUGUAGCGGUGAAAUGCGUAGAUAUUAGGAGGAACACCAGUGGCGAAGGCGGCUUACUGGACUGUAACUGACGUUGAGGCUCGAAAGCGUGGGGAGCAAACAGGAUUAGAUACCCCAGUAA
rnacentral:rRNA from 1 species